AGCUUUGCGUAGUGGCAGUAUCAUAGCCAAUGAGGUUUAUCCAAGGCACGAUUAUUGCUAAUUGAAAACUGAGGAUGGUUGCUUAGAACCUUAUAAUAUUCUUUCCAUCAUAGUAUAUUUGAAUUUUUCAAAAAUAAAAAGUUAU
ensembl:snRNA U4 U4 spliceosomal RNA